rnacentral:rRNA from 5 species
AGCUUGCUGGGGGAUUAGUGGCGAACGGGUGAGUAACACGUGAGUAACCUGCCCUUGACUCUGGGAUAAGCCUGGGAAACUGGGUCUAAUACCGGAUAUGACUCCUCAUCGCAUGGUGGGGGGUGGAAAGCUUUUGUGGUUUUGGAUGGACUCGCGGCCUAUCAGCUUGUUGGUGGGGUAAUGGCCUACCAAGGCGACGACGGGUAGCCGGCCUGAGAGGGUGACCGGCCACACUGGGACUGAGACACGGCCCAGACUCCUACGGGAGGCAGCAGUGGGGAAUAUUGCACAAUGGGCGCAAGCCUGAUGCAGCGACGCCGCGUGAGGGAUGACGGCCUUCGGGUUGUAAACCUCUUUCAGUAGGGAAGAAGCGUAAGUGACGGUACCUGCAGAAGAAGCGCCGGCUAACUACGUGCCAGCAGCCGCGGUAAUACGUAGGGCGCAAGCGUUAUCCGGAAUUAUUGGGCGUAAAGAGCUCGUAGGCGGUUUGUCGCGUCUGCUGUGAAAGACCGGGGCUCAAC